rnacentral:rRNA from 1 species
GAUGAACGCUGGCGGCGUGCCUAAUACAUGCAAGUCGAGCGAACAGACAAGGAGCUUGCUCCUUUGACGUUAGCGGCGGACGGGUGAGUAACACGUGGGUAACCUACCUAUAAGACUGGGAUAACUUCGGGAAACCGGAGCUAAUACCGGAUAAUAUUUCGAACCGCAUGGUUCGAUAGUGAAAGAUGGUUUUGCUAUCACUUAUAGAUGGACCCGCGCCGUAUUAGCUAGUUGGUAAGGUAACGGCUUACCAAGGCGACGAUACGUAGCCGACCUGAGAGGGUGAUCGGCCACACUGGAACUGAGACACGGUCCAGACUCCUACGGGAGGCAGCAGUAGGGAAUCUUCCGCAAUGGGCGAAAGCCUGACGGAGCAACGCCGCGUGAGUGAUGAAGGUCUUCGGAUCGUAAAACUCUGUUAUUAGGGAAGAACAUACAUGUAAGUAACUAUGCACGUCUUGACGGUACCUAAUCAGAAAGCCACGGCUAACUACGUGCCAGCAGCCGCGGUAAUACGUAGGUGGCAAGCGUUAUCCGGAAUUAUUGGGCGUAAAAGCGCGCGUAGGCGGUUUUUUAAGUCUGAUGUGAAAGCCCACGGCUCAACCGUGGAGGGUCAUUGGAAACUGGAAAACUUGAGUGCAGAAGAGGAAAGUGGAAUUCCAUGUGUAGCGGUGAAAUGCGCAGAGAUAUGGAGGAACACCAGUGGCGAAGGCGACUUUCUGGUCUGUAACUGACGCUGAUGUGCGAAAGCGUGGGGAUCAAACAGGAUUAGAUACCCUGGUAGUCCACGCCGUAAACGAUGAGUGCUAAGUGUUAGGGGGUUUCCGCCCCUUAGUGCUGCAGCUAACGCAUUAAGCACUCCGCCUGGGGAGUACGACCGCAAGGUUGAAACUCAAAGGAAUUGACGGGGACCCGCACAAGCGGUGGAGCAUGUGGUUUAAUUCGAAGCAACGCGAAGAACCUUACCAAAUCUUGACAUCCUUUGACAACUCUAGAGAUAGAGCCUUCCCCUUCGGGGGACAAAGUGACAGGUGGUGCAUGGUUGUCGUCAGCUCGUGUCGUGAGAUGUUGGGUUAAGUCCCGCAACGAGCGCAACCCUUAAGCUUAGUUGCCAUCAUUAAGUUGGGCACUCUAAGUUGACUGCCGGUGACAAACCGGAGGAAGGUGGGGAUGACGUCAAAUCAUCAUGCCCCUUAUGAUUUGGGCUACACACGUGCUACAAUGGACAAUACAAAGGGCAGCGAAACCGCGAGGUCAAGCAAAUCCCAUAAAGUUGUUCUCAGUUCGGAUUGUAGUCUGCAACUCGACUACAUGAAGCUGGAAUCGCUAGUAAUCGUAGAUCAGCAUGCUACGGUGAAUACGUUCCCGGGUCU